rnacentral:rRNA from 1 species
UAGUCAUAUGCUUGUCUCAAAGAUUAAGCCAUGCAUGUCUAAGUAUAAGCAAUCUAUACGGUGAAACUGCGAAUGGCUCAUUAAAUCAGUUAUCGUUUAUUUGAUAGUACCUUACUACUUGGAUAACCGUGGUAAUUCUAGAGCUAAUACAUGCUAAAAACCCCGACUUCGGAAGGGGUGUAUUUAUUAGAUAAAAAACCAAUGCCCUUCGGGGCUCCUUGGUGAUUCAUAAUAACUUGACGAAUCGCAUGGCCUUGUGCCGGCGAUGGUUCAUUCAAAUUUCUGCCCUAUCAACUUUCGAUUGUAAGGUAGUGGCUUACAAUGGUUUCAACGGGUAACGGGGAAUUAGGGUUCUAUUCCGGAGAGGGAGCCUGAGAAACGGCUACCACAUCCAAGGAAGGCAGCAGGCGCGCAAAUUACCCAAUCCCGACACGGGGAGGUAGUGACAAUAAAUACUGAUACAGGGCUCUUUUGGGUCUUGUAAUUGGAAUGAGUACAAUUUAAAUCCCUUAACGAGGAACAAAU